rfam:Gossypium hirsutum cultivar TM-1 chromosome 23, whole genome shotgun sequence
UAUUAAAAUUUUCAUUCAUUUAUACUAUUAAAAACUGAUGUGGUUGUUGGAAUAAUCAGACGAUGACAUGUGACGUGCUACGUGUAUAUCAUGUUGACGUACAAGAUCAAUUUUUAAUAGCAAAAAUUGAUUAAAUUUUUAACA